UGGGGAAUUUUGGACAAUGGGCGAAAGCCUGAUCCAGCAAUGCCGCGUGUGUGAAGAAGGCCUUCGGGUUGUAAAGCACUUUUGUCCGGAAAGAAAUCCUUGGCUCUAAUACAGUCGGGGGAUGACGGUACCGGAAGAAUAAGCACCGGCUAACUACGUGCCAGCAGCCGCGGUAAUACGUAGGGUGCAAGCGUUAAUCGGAAUUACUGGGCGUAAAGCGUGCGCAGGCGGUUUGCUAAGACCGAUGUGAAAUCCCCGGGCUCAACCUGGGAACUGCAUUGGUGACUGGCAGGCUAGAGUAUGGCAGAGGGGGGUAGAAUUCCACGUGUAGCAGUGAAAUGCGUAGAGAUGUGGAGGAAUACCGAUGGCGAAGGCAGCCCCCCUGGGGCCAAUACUGACGCUCAUGCACGAAAGCGUGGGGAGCAAACAGGAUUAGAUACCCUGGUAGUCCACGCCCUAAACGAUGUCAACUAGUUGUUGGGGAUUCAUUUCCUUAGUAACGUAGCUAACGCGUGAAGUUGACCGCCUGGGGAGUACGGUCGCAAGAUUAAAACUCAAAUGAAUUGACGGGGUCAUA
rnacentral:rRNA from 1 species